UACGUAGGCAGCAAGCGUUGUUCGGAGUUACUGGGCGUAAAGGGUGUGUAGGCGGUUGUUUAAGUUUGGUGUGAAAUCUCCCGGCUCAACCGGGAGGGUGCGCCGAAUACUGAAUGACUAGAGUGCGGGAGAGGAAAGUGGAAUUCCUGGUGUAGCGGUGAAAUGCGUAGAUAUCAGGAGGAACACCGGUGGUGUAGACGGCUUUCUGGACCGUAACUGACGCUGAGACACGAAAGCCAGGGGAGCGAACGGG
rnacentral:rRNA from 1 species